UAGACUGUCUGUCUAGUGGUGGAUGUAUUGGGACAGUGUUAGGUGGUCUGUAUCAGUAGACUGUCUGUCUAGUGGUGGAUGUAGUGGGACAGUGUUAGGUGGUCUGUAUCAGUAGACUGUCUGUCUAGUGGUGGAUGUAGUGGGACAGUGUUAGGUGGUCUGUAUCAGUAGACUGUCUGUCUAGUGGUGGAUGUAGUGGGACAGUGUUAGAUGGUCUGUAUCAGUAGUCUGUCUGUCUAGUGGUGGAUGUAGUGGGACAGUGUUAGGUGGUCUGUACCAGUAGACUGUCUAGUGGUGGAUGUAGUGGGACAGUGUUAGGUGGUCUGUAUCAGUAGACUGUCUGUCUAGUGGUGGAUGUAGUGGGACAGUGUUAGGUGGUCUGUAUCAGUAGUCUGUCUGUCUAGUGGUGGAUGUAGUGGGACAGUGUUAGGUGGUCUGUACCAGUAGACUGUCUAGUGGUGGAUGUAGUGGGACAGUGUUAGGUGGUCUGUAUCAGUAGACUGUCUGUCUAGUGGUGGAUGUAGUGGGACAGUGUUAGGUGGUCUGUAUCAGUAGACUGUCUGUCUAGUGGUGGAUGUAGUGGGACAGUGUUCGGUGGUCUGUAUCAGUAGACUGUCUAGUGGUGGAUGUAGUGGGACAGUGUUAGGUGGUCUGUACCAGUAGACUGUCUAGUGGUGGAUGUAGUGGGACAGUGUUAGGUGGUCUGUACCAGUAGACUGUCUGUCUAGUGGUGGAUGUAGUGGGACAGUGUUAGGUGGUCUGUACCAGUAGACUGUCUAGUGGUGGAUGUAGUGGGACAGUGUUAGGUGGUCUGUAUCAGUAGACUGUCUGUCUAGUGGUGGAUGUAGUGGGACAGUGUUAGGUGGUCUGUAUCAGUAGACUGUCUGUCUAGUGGUGGAUGUAGUGGGACAGUGUUAGGUGGUCUGUAUCAGUAGACUGUCUAGUGGUGGAUGUAGUGGGACAGUGUUAGGUGGUCUGUACCAGUAGACUGUCUAGUGGUGGAUGUAGUGGGACAGUGUUAGGUGGUCUGUACCAGUAGACUGUCUGUCUAGUGGUGGAUGUAGUGGGACAGUGUUAGGUGGUCUGUAUCAGUAGACUGUCUAGUGGUGGAUGUAGUGGGACAGUGUUAGGUGGUCUGUAUCAGUAGACUGUCUAGUGGUGGAUGUAGUGGGACAGUGUUAGGUGGUCUGUAUCAGUAGACUGUCUGUCUAGUGGUGGAUGUAGUGGGACAGUGUUAGGUGGUCUGUAUCAGUAGACUGUCUAGUGGUGGAUGUAGUGGGACAGUGUUAGGUGGUCUGUAUCAGUAGACUGUCUAGUGGUGGAUGUAGUGGGACAGUGUUAGGUGGUCUGUAUCAGUAGACUGUCUGUCUAGUGGUGGAUGCAGUGGGACAGUGUUAGGUGGUCUGUAUCAGUAGACUGUCUAGUGGUGGAUGUAGUGGGACAGUGUUAGGUGGUCUGUACCAGUAGACUGUCUGUCUAGUGGUGGAUGUAGUGGGACAGUGUUAGGUGGUCUGUACCAGUAGACUGUCUGUCUAGUGGUGGAUGUAGUGGGACAGUGUUAGGUGGUCUGUAUCAGUAGACUGUCUGUCUAGUGGUGGAUGUAGUGGGACAGUGUUAGGUGGUCUGUAUCAGUAGACUGUCUAGUGGUGGAUGUAGUGGGACAGUGUUAGGUGGUCUGUAUCAGUAGACUGUCUAGUGGUGGAUGUAGUGGGACAGUGUUAGGUGGUCUGUAUCAGUAGACUGUCUAGUGGUGGAUGUAGUGGGACAGUGUUAGAUGGUCUGUAUCAGUAGACUGUCUGUCUAGUGGUGGAUGUAGUGGGACAGUGUUAGAUGGUCUGUAUCAGUAGACUGUCUAGUGGUGGAUGUAGUGGGACAGUGUUAGGUGGUCUGUAUCAGUAGACUGUCUGUCUAGUGGUGGAUGUAGUGGGACAGUGUUAGGUGGUCUGUAUCAGUAGACUGUCUGUCUAGUGGUGGAUGUAGUGGGACAGUGUUAGGUGGUCUGUAUCGGUAGACUGUCUGUCUAGUGGUGGAUGUAGUGGGACAGUGUUAGAUGGUCUGUAUCAGUAGACUGUCUAGUGGUGGAUGUAGUGGGACAGUGUUAGAUGGUCUGUACCAGUAGACUGUCUGUCUAGUGGUGGAUGUAGUGGGACAGUGUUAGGUGGUCUGUAUCAGUAGACUGUCUAGUGGUGGAUGUAGUGGGACAGUGUUAGGUGGUCUGUAUCAGUAGACUGUCUAGUGGUGGAUGUAGUGGGACAGUGUUAGGUGGUCUGUAUCAGUAGACUGUCUGUCUAGUGGUGGAUGUAGUGGGACAGUGUUAGGUGGUCUGUAUCAGUAGACUGUCUAGUGGUGGAUGUAGUGGGACAGUGUUAGGUGGUCUGUAUCAGUAGACUGUCUGUCUAGUGGUGGAUGUAGUGGGACAGUGUUAGGUGGUCUGUAUCAGUAGACUGUCUAGUGGUGGAUGUAGUGGGACAGUGUUAGGUGGUCUGUAUCAGUAGACUGUCUGUCUAGUGGUGGAUGUAGUGGGACAGUGUUAGGUGGUCUGUAUCAGUAGACUGUCUAGUGGUGGAUGUAGUGGGACAGUGUUAGGUGGUCUGUAUCAGUAGACUGUCUGUCUAGUGGUGGAUGUAGUGGGACAGUGUUAGGUGGUCUGUAUCAGUAGACUGUCUGUCUAGUGGUGGAUGUAGUGGGACAGUGUUAGGUGGUCUGUAUCAGUAGACUGUCUAGUGGUGGAUGUAGUGGACAGUGUUAGGUGGUCUGUAUCAGUAGACUGUCUAGUGGUGGAUGUAGUGGGACAGUGUUAGGUGGUCUGUAUCAGUAG